AUAAUCAAGACCUCUACAAAUACUCAAUCCUGCCACUUCCACUGCCAGAUCGUAAUCUCUGCUCAUUCUGCCCGCUCUGACUCAGGUUCCUGUCUCCAGUCUCAUGUCUCCUCAUCCUGCUACUCUGCCCUGGAUUACCCACUCUACUGCUCCCUUGGAUUCCCCUCAGGACCUGCUUACCCUGUCCCAACACCUCUCGCUCCAGCCUCAGCCUCCGCACCUGGUUUCCUGCAACCCGCCCGAGCUUCCCGUGGCCUGCACUCCAUCUUCCCCCUGUCUUUCAAUAAAUAUCUUGGUUACUUGAUCCUAGUCUCCUCAUCUGAGUCUGCUCUUGGGUUUCCCUGUUCCACUCCGCAUAACAGCGUCAGAAUAAUAAAUAUUGAAAUGGCAACCGACGGCCCCGAUCCUCCCUUUAAAGGGGGGGGCUAGAGGAAAAAAAAGUUUAACAAAGCCAUAGAGGAGCUGAAAGAGACACAUGAGCAAUCUACCAAUUUGGCUUGAAUAUGGGACAUUUUUUGCAAAAUUGAUCAAAUUGGUCAGCUUCCCCAUUGACGGAAAAUUUAAAUCUAAUAAAGAAUUCUGAGAUUGUGAGUUGGCACAAUGACAUAAAAUACAAAAUAAAAAUCUCAAUAAACUGG